rnacentral:rRNA from 1 species
GAGAGUUUGAUUAUGGCUCAAGAUGAACGCUGGCGGCGUGCCUAACACAUGCUAGUCGAGCGAGAAAUGAAGAGAAGAAACUUCGGUAGAUUUUCAUCAUGGAAAGCGGCGGACGGGUGAGUAACGCGUAGGCAACCUGCCCCGUACAGGGGGAUAGCCAUCGGAAACGAUGAUUAAGACCCCAUAAAGCGGAAUAUACACAUGUAAAAACCGUCAAAGAUUUAUCGGUAUGGGAUGGGCCUGCGUCUGAUUAGAUAGUUGGUAGGGUAACGGCCUACCAAGUCAACGAUCAGUAGCCGACCUGAGAGGGUGAACGGCCACAUUGGAACUGAGACACGGUCCAAACUCCUACGGGAGGCAGCAGUGGGGAAUAUUGCACAAUGGAGGGAACUCUGAUGCAGCAACGCCGCGUGAAGGAAGAAGGUCUUCGGAUCGUAAACUUCUGUCCAAAAGGAAGAAGGAAGUGACGGUACUUUUGGAGGAAGCCCCGGCUAACUACGUGCCAUCAGCCGCGGUAAUACGUAUGGGGCAAGCGUUAUCCGGAAUUAUUGGGCGUAAAGAGUGCGUAGGUGGUCACUUAAGCGCAGGGUUUAAGGCAAUGGCUCAACCAUUGUAUGCCCUGCGAACUGGGCGACUUGAGUGCAGGAGAGGAAAGUGGAAUUCCUAGUGUAGCGGUGAAAUGCGUAGAUAUUAGGAGGAACACCGGUGGCGAAGGCGACUUUCUGGACUGAUACUGACACUGAGGCACGAAAGCGUGGGGAGCAUACAGGAUUAGAUACCCUGGUAGUCCACGCCGUAUACGAUGAGCACCACGUGUCGGGUUCGUAUGACUCUGUGCCGCAGUUAACGCAUAAGUGCUCCGUCGUGGGGAGUACGUUCGCAGAUAAACUCAAGGAUUUGACAGGGACCCGCACAGCUGCGAGCUUGUUGUUUAUUCGAGCACGCGUAGAAUCUUACUCGGACUGACAUCUUCUGCGUACCGCAAAUGCUAUUUCUACGGACAGAAGAACUGGUGGGGCAUUGUUUGUCUCGCUCGGUUCUGAAUGUGGGUAGUCCCGCACGAGGCUACCUGCUUAGUGGCAUCAUACUUGGACUCUAGACUGCAGGACACUGAGAUGUGAAGUACUCAAUGCCAUGCACUUAGUUUCGAACUCACACGUGCUCUACAUGGUCCGGUUCUACAG